rnacentral:lncRNA from 1 species
ACUUCACACAGCAUGACUACAGAGAGAUCCUGCUUCCCAUGAUGACUGAUCAGCUCAAGUACCAUCUGGAGAGACAGGAGAACCUGGAGGCCUGCUGUCAGCUGCUCAGCCACAUCCUGGAGGUGCUGUACAGGAAGGACAUGGGGCCAACUCAGAGGCAGAUCCAGAUUAUCAUGGAGAAACUUCUCCAGACUGUGAACCAAACCAUCAUUUCCAUGGGACAAGAUUCCGA